GAAAUGGGGACAGAGGGAAGGCGCUAACUUGGGUGGAAAGUUUGCCCCGGAGAACUCCCACGGCUCUGGCCUCCCCUCCCCCUCCUCGCUCUCUGUCGCCUAGCCUAGAGGAGAAGGCUGCUUAGCAGAGAAAUGGCAACUCAGCGGAGAGCUGGAACUAGAAACUUUCUGUCAGUGUAACGUCCGCGUGGGUGGUGACCCAAUGAUGGUUGGGCUUCGGGUCACGUGACAGCCUCAUUGUAGCUCCGGAAGAGAACGUGAAGUUUAGGUUGCCUGGAAGAAGCAGUAAUAAGCUAGGUUUGGGGUUGCCUGGAUGUAAACAGAGGGGGUGCCUGGAGGUGCUGGUCAAAGGGACAAAAGAGGGAGACUGAAAGGGAGAACAAAAAAAAUCAAGAUUUUGGGGAAAUUACCCACAGAGAUGCAAGGGAAAAAGAAAAAGGAAAAGGAAAAACUGUGCAUCUGCUGGAAUCUCUUUUCUACUGAGAUGGGGGAAAUUAUCCAGGAUGAGAAAGACUCACAAAACAAUUUGAACACUAUUCUUCUCUGGAUUCAAAGGGGAGGCUGUUU
rnacentral:lncRNA from 1 species